rnacentral:rRNA from 1 species
AUUGAACGCUGGCGGCAUGCUUUACACAUGCAAGUCGAACGGUAACAGGCCUUCGGGCGCUGACGAGUGGCGAACGGGUGAGUAAUGCAUCGGAACGUGCCCAGAGGUGGGGGAUAGCCCGGCGAAAGCCGGAUUAAUACCGCAUGAGACCUGAGGGUGAAAGCGGGGGAUCGCAAGACCUCGCGCUAUUGGAGCGGCCGAUAUCAGAUUAGGUAGUUGGUGGGGUAAAGGCCCACCAAGGCGACGAUCUGUAGCUGGUCUGAGAGGACGACCAGCCACACUGGGACUGAGACACGGCCCAGACUCCUACGGGAGGCAGCAGUGGGGAAUUUUGGACAAUGGGCGCAAGCCUGAUCCAGCAAUGCCGCGUGCAGGAAGAAGGCCUUCGGGUUGUAAACUGCUUUUGUACGGAACGAAACGGUCUGGGUUAAUACCCUGGGCUAAUGACGGUACCGUAAGAAUAAGCACCGGCUAACUACGUG